CUAAAUUAAACCAAUUAUUACAUACAGGGAAAAGGAAGAAAUAUGACCAAAAUUAUAUUGUUUGUUAAUGUCAUGAUUAUCAUAAUUUCUCUAUUUUUUGCUGCUAUAAACGUUGAAGCGUUGUUAUAUCCACCGUUCUAUCCUAGUAUGAGAUGUUCUAGUGACUCGGAUUGUCCUCCAUUUAGGUGUUGGAAACCUUGGAUAACAAAGUGUGUCAAAAAAUGGUGUAGGUGUAGAUGUAAAACUGCGGAAGACCUAUGAUAACAUUUGUGAUGUCCCUUAGCUUUUGUUUUUAAUUAUUUAUUAUUUUUAUAGCAAUGCACCUUGUCACCAAAAAUGACACUAAAUACUUACACUCGGCUACGGUUUAUCGUGAACAGUGUAAUAAUACUCGUGAACAAUUCGAGUGAAUAAUAAAUUUUAAUGGUAACUAAAAGUUGAUUAAUAAAAUAUAAAAAAUUGAUUAAUGAAA